GAGCCAAUGGCUCAAUGAUGGAGCGUUCGACUUUAUUUCCAAAGGUCUGGGUUCAAAUCCCAGGUGUCCCA
rnacentral:tRNA from 1 species